rnacentral:tmRNA from 1 species
GGGGACGCGUGGGUUCGACAGGGGAAGUAGGCUACAGGAUGGCAAGCUGAGGUGCCACUAACCUCAUAAAACAAGUGGCCCAAAAUAACUGGCGAACCUGAAAUGGUUCUUGCUGCCUAAUUAACUGGCAGCACGUCCAACCCGACCUAUCCCCAAGGGUUGGGAUUGGGUGCCGAAAAUUGGGGUGCCAUCACCCGGACGCCAAUAAGGGCGGUGAAAGACAAAUUGGCUGGCUUGGCUAAACUCGGUCAGCAGAGGUUAGCCCGGUGAGAUUAAAGAGCUGACUAAGCUUGUAGUGUGUCCUGGGCAGCUUCUUCUGGACGGGGAGUUCGACUCUCCCCCGUCUCCACCA